GUCUCCAUGGUGCAAUGGAUAGCAUAAUGGUCCUCGAAACCACAGAUCCGAGUUCGAAUCUCGGUGGAGGCA
rfam:Lactobacillus rhamnosus MTCC 5462 contig272, whole genome shotgun sequence.